UAAUAUUUUAAGAAGGGAAAAAGUAGGUUUAAAAACAAACUUAAAGAGAGCUGUAGAGGGUGUAAUUACAGUAGUUAUGAUUAAACUGAAUGGGUCCUAGAAAACCUAAGUGAAAUAAUAGUAGCUCUAGGCGUAGGUUUUACGUUAUAAAAACAGAAUUUUAUAUUCGUAGAGGAGAAAUUUAAAAUUUCUUGAAUAUAGGUGGUACCGCGAUAAUUCGCCCUAUAA
rfam:Clostridium sp. IEH 97212 scaffold_16, whole genome shotgun sequence.